rnacentral:rRNA from 1 species
CAGCCGCCGCGGUAAUACCGGCACCACAAGUGGUAUCCGCGCAUAUUGGGUCUAAAGCGCUCGUAGUCGGUUUAGUAAGUUAUUGGUGAAAUUCUUGAGCUUAACUUGAGAGCGUGCCAGUAAAACUACUAGACUUGGGAGUGGGGGAGGUUAGAAGUACGCUUGGGGUAGGGGUUAAAUCCGUUAAUCCUGGGCGGACUAGCAGUGGCGAAGGCGUCUAACCAAAACACGUCCGACGAUGAGGUGCGAAGGCCAGGGGAGCAAACGGGAUUAGAUACCCCGGUAGUCCUGGCUGUAAAUGAUGUAGAUUUGGUGUUACGUUAGCCUCGAGCUGACGUAGUGCCGUAGCGUAGGUGUUAAAUCUACCACCUGGGGAGUACGGCCGCAAGGCUAAAACUUAAAGGAAUUGGCGGGGGAGCACCACAAGGCGUGGAGGCUGCGGUUUAAUUGGAUUCAACGCCGGGAAUCUUACUGGGAACGACGGCAGGAUGAUAGCCAGGCUGAAGACCUUGCUUGACAAGCCGAGAGGUGGUGCAUGGCC